AAGUGAGAAGCAACACUUGCAAUCAGUUUCGACCUGAUCUUAGAUAAUCAAACCUUAUCCUCACUUU
rnacentral:tRNA from 1 species